AUUCCAGCUCCAAUAGCGUAUAUUAAUGUUGCUGCAGUUAAAAAGCUCGUAGUUGGAUUUCUGGUAUGAUGCGCCUGGUCCGCCCCGUUUAGGUGUGUGAGUACCGGUGCGCGUCUGCCAUCCUUCUAGAGAGCGUGUCUACCCUUCACUGUGCCGGGCACGUCAUCUGGAUCGUUUACUUUGAAAAAAUUAGAGUGUUUCAAGCAGGCAUACUCGCUUUGAAUACAUUAGCAUGGAAUAAUAAGAUAGGACUUGGGUUCUAUUUUGUUGGUUUCUAGGACCGAAGUAAUGAUUGAUAGGGACAGUUGGGGGUGCUAGUAUUCCACGGCCAGAGGUGAAAUUCUUGGAUUCGUGGAAGACUAACUAAUGCGAAAGCAUUCACCAAGGAUGUCUUCAUCA
rnacentral:rRNA from 1 species